AGCGAACGCUGGCGGCAGGCCUAAUACAUGCAAGUCGAACGGCUCUUCGGAGCAGUGGCGGACGGGUGAGUAACGCGUGGGAAUGUGCCCUUAGGUACGGAACAACACAGGGAAACUUGUGCUAAUACCGUAUGUGCCCUUCGGGGGAAAGAUUUAUCGCCUUUGGAGCAGCCCGCGUUGGAUUAGGUAGUUGGGGAGGUAAAGGCUCACCAAGCCGACGAUCCAUAGCUGGUCUGAGAGGAUGACCAGCCAACAUGGGAACGAGAAACGGCCCAGACCUCUAAGGGAGGCAGGAGGAGGGAAUCCUGGGCAAUGGGCGAAAGCCUGACGCAGCCAUGCCGCGUGUAUGAUGAAGGUCUUAGGAUUGUAAAAUACUUUCACCGGGGAAGAUAAUGACGGUACCCGGAGAAGAAGCCCCGGCUAACUUCGUGCCAGCAGCCGCCGCCGUAA
rnacentral:rRNA from 1 species